UACGAAGGGGGCUAGCGUUGCUCGGAAUCACUGGGCGUAAAGCGCACGUAGGCGGAUUGUUAAGUCAGGGGUGAAAUCCUGGAGCUCAACUCCAGAACUGCCUUUGAUACUGGCGAUCUCGAGUCCGGGAGAGGUGAGUGGAACUGCGAGUGUAGAGGUGAAAUUCGUAGAUAUUCGCAAGAACACCAGUGGCGAAGGCGGCUCACUGGAUCGAAACUGACGCUGAGGUGCGAAAGCUAGGGUAGCAAACGGG
rnacentral:rRNA from 1 species